AGCAGCCGCGGUAAUUCCAGCUCCAAUAGCGUAUAUUAAAGUUGUUGCAGUUAAAAAGCUCGUAGUUGAAUUUCGGGACUAAUAUGUCGGUCGUACUUUGUACGUACUAGCAUUAUUGGUUUCUCCCUUCUGACGAACCACGAUGUCAUUAAUUUGGUGUCAUGGGAAAUCAGGACUGUUACUUUGAAAAAUUAGAGUGUUUAAAGCAAGCUCGCGCUUGAAUACAUUAGCAUGGAAUAAUGAAAUAGGACGUUUGAUUCUAUUUUGUUGGUUUCUAGGAUCGACGUAAUGAUUAAUAGGGAUAGUUGGGGGCAUUAGUAUUCAAUUGCCAGAGGUGAAAUUCUUGGAUUUAUUGAAGACUAACUACUGCGAAAGCAUUUGCCAAGGAUGUUUUCAUUAAUCAAGAACGAAAGUUAGGGGAUCGAAGACGAUCAGAUACCGUCGUAGUCUUAACCAUAAACUAUGCCGACUAGGGAUCGGAUGAUGUAAUUUUUAAUGACUCAUUCGGCGCUUACGGAAA
rnacentral:rRNA from 1 species